rnacentral:rRNA from 1 species
UACGGAGGGUGCAAGCGUUAUCCGGAUUCACUGGGCUUAAAGGGUGCGUAGGUGGGCAGGUAAGUCCGUGGUGAAAUCUCUGAGCUUAACUCAGAAACUGCCGUGGAUACUAUUUGUCUUGAAUGUUGUGGAGGUGAGCGGAAUAUGUCAUGUAGCGGUGAAAUGCUUAGAUAUGACAUAGAACACCAAUGGCGAAGGCAGCUCACUACACAAUUAUUGACGCUGAGGCACGAAAGCGUGGGGAGCAAACAGG